AGUGAACGCUGGCGGUAGGCCUAACACAUGCAAGUCGAACGGCAGCACAGUAAGAGCUUGCUCUUACGGGUGGCGAGUGGCGGACGGGUGAGGAAUACAUCCGAAUCUACUUUUUCGUGGGGGAUAACGUAGGGAAACUUACGCUAAUACCGCAUACGACCUACGGGUGAAAGCAGGGGAUCUUCGGACCUUGCGCGAUUGAAUGAGCCGAUGUCGGAUUAGCUAGUUGGCGGGGUAAAGGCCCACCAAGGCGACGAUCCGUAGCUGGUCUGAGAGGAUGAUCAGCCACACUGGAACUGGGACACGGUCCAGACGCCUACGGGAGGCAGCAGUGGGGAAUAUUAGACAAUGGGCGCAAGCCUGAUCCAGCCAUACCGCGUGGGUGGAGGAGGCGUUCGGGUUGUAAAGCCCUUUUGUUGGGAAAGAAAAGCAGCAGGUUAAUACCCCGCUGUUCUGACGGUACCCAAAGAAUAAGCACCGGCUAACUUCGUG
rnacentral:rRNA from 1 species